rnacentral:rRNA from 1 species
UACGUAGGGGGCGAGCGUUGUCCGGAAUUACUGGGCGUAAAGGGUUCGCAGGCGGCAUGGCAAGUCCGAUGUAAAAGGCGAAAGCUCAACUUUCGUAAGCAUCGGAAACUGUCAAGCUUGAGUGCAGGAGAGAAAAGUGGAAUUCCUAGUGUAGCGGUGAAAUGCGUAGAGAUUAGGAGGAACACCAGUGGCGAAGGCGGCUUUUUGGCCUGCAACUGACACUGAGGCGCGAAAGCGUGGGGAGCAAACAGG